UGGGUUCCAAGCUGCUGUGGCUUCCAGUGAGUUGCCAUCACCUGUGUCUCCACAGCCUUUGAUGGGAUCCUCCACUGAACAUAUUCACCUUUAUGCAGAUGCUGAUGAACUUGCAGCUUCUGACACUUCGGUCUCCUGGAAACACAUAUCACUCAGCUCCCCUUGCCUUCAUCCGGGAGUAAAAUUUUCUUGAGGAUUCCGGAGCUGAGGAGUUGCCAGCACCAUACUUCUUGUACAGCCUGAAGAACUGCCAUGCUCAGCAUGAUCUUCAAAUUGCUGGAUCUACUCCGUUUAACACUUCAGAAAUUGCAGGAGAAAUUACCUGCUUAAUUGUAUGCAGAAAGGAAGUGUGUGGGAAUACAGAAAGUACACAACUAUUAAAGACCAGAAAGAGAAAUCAGAGAUAGCACGUCUGCUCACAUCCCUAGCAGACAUCACAGGAGUAUACAUAUCUGAAAACAGGUCUGGAAAAUACCGUCCU